ensembl:lncRNA
CACCCCUCUGCCUGCAGAGCCCAGGCUGUGCCAGGCGGUGUCCUGCAGCACAGAUCUGUUUGCCCAGCCCAGCACACGGCACUACGCAGUUCUGCAAUUCCAUUUCAUGCCUAAGUUCCAGUCCCUAAACUCGUGCUUCCAACUUAUUCCCUUUCUUUGACACUUUGCCUCUUGAAAUCGCAUGUUUUGCAUAAUAAUGAUUAUUUUCAGGUAUUUGUCACACAAAGAGUGAUAGAUAUUCCCAGUUCCCUCUCAGUCAGCAGCAUGCAGGCUGCCCACCUGCUGCUCACAGCUCCUGCCCGACACAAUCCUGUUGUCCUGGGACACAACCAGAGCCAGGUGUGACCAGAGAGGCUGUGCAGAGAGGUGGUGCUGCCCCAUCCCUGCAGACAGCCAAGGUCAGGGGAUGGGCUCUGAGCACUGAUGGAGCUGUGGGUGUCCCUGUGAAUUGCAGGGAGUGGGACCAGAGGGUCUUGAGGGGCCCCUUCCAACCCAAACAAUUCUGUGACUCCAUGACCUGCAGCAGUGAUGGCAGAUGUGACACAAAGCUCCCCAGCCUCGGUCCCAAAGAUGGCCAUACAGUUGAGCCUCAAAAGUCUCUUCCAAGUUCUGAAAUAAAUCUCUGAAGUUCACCUUUCCUGUGCAGAUCCCACAAUGUAAAAAGAUUCAGGACCUGUAAUGGUGAAUAAGAAUAGAGUGCAGUAAUUCUAAUCGGCAGGUUGUGAUGGAGUGCAAUCCAAUGGGAGAAACCAGAAAUGGAGCAAAGCAGACCCAUGGUGGGCAUGGCUUCCCUCCUGGCCUUUCUAUCAGUUCCCAGCAGCUGGUGACUUUGCCAGCUCAAUGGAGUUAAAUGCAUAAGUAAAAUUAACUGCGCAUUGUGAGAACAAAUGAUAAUGGAAGAGUAAAAGGAAACAAAGAAAAGGCUUUCAUAUCCUCUGCAUGAAAACAGAUAUCAGGAAUGUAAUGAGCAGUGUAUCCAACCAUUAUAUUUUAAUGUAAAAGCUGUGGAAUGUUGGAAAACCAACAACACUUGGGAAGAAAUUUCACUAAAUGUGGCAUUAAUGGAGGGCCCUACAGGGGGACCUGGUGGUGCUGGGGCAGCCAGGCCUGGGAUCAGCAAUGGGAGUCCAUCACGGAGCACAAAGUGAGCUCAAACUGCCCUUGGGAACACAGCCAUUUCUCUUGCUGAAUGGCAUCGAAAUACCAAGCUCCAAAGCUUCAAAAUAUUGAUGGCAUUAUUAAAAAGGGACCUUUAAUUUUGCAUUAAGAACAUUUUAGCAUCGGAAUACUGGAAUUAAAUUAUGUAUGAGCCCCAGCCGCAGUGCUCUGCUGGAAUUAGUUAACAGUUUGCUGCUUUGCACUUAAGGUGUAAUUGAGCCUCCUGCACAGAAGGGCUGACGGGGUGCUUGUGGGGAGCUGCAGCCAUCCCUUAAAACAAAGGAACACAUUCGAUGCUCACAAGUAAGCAUGAAAAGUUAUAAAGCAAACUGGUGAGCCAGUUUGGGAAGCUGACCCUAAGGAGAGCUGCAGCAAAGGGCACAGCUUGCACUCUGAUCAUAGAAUCCUAGAAUGGCCUGGGUUGCAAAGGAGCACAGUGCUCAUCCAGUUCCAACCCCCUGCUAUGUGCAGGGUCGCCAACCAGCAGCCCAGGCUGCCCAGAGCCACAUCCAGCCUGGCCUUGAAUGCCUGCAGGGAUGGGGCAUCCACAGCCUCCUUGGGCAACCUGUUCAGUGUGUGACUAUUCUGACUACAUGUUCUGGUAGCACUAGGUGUUCCAAAAAAGACCAAGGUCUGACAAUGAGAGAAAAUCUGUGGUUUGAGUAAUUUGAAAACAAAAACAACAACAACAACAAAAAAAAAACCAAAAAAACAAGGAAGAAAAACAGGACGAGCAGCUGCCCUAUGGGCUGCCCCCUGCAGCCCCUGCCAGGCACUGCUGGACCCCAGGAUGUGGAGUAGUACAGAACUGCCCCUUCCCAUGCCAGUGCUCUGCAUUUCUGCUGGUGCUCACGAAGCACUGCUUGUGAAGGCAGCCGUGUUCCUGGUUGUUGUAAAGUAUGUUUUAAAUGGGCACAGUAAUAGAGAAACGGUGAACAAAUAGGACGUGCAAUAUAACUAGGUGAGCAAUUCUGCUAGAGAAAAUAUAUAUAUACACACACCUCAUUGGCUCUUCAGAAUAAAUCAGCAGGGAAAAUGCUGAGACAAAGAUCACUUUUAGCAAGCAUCCUUAUUUCUGUUCAAGAGAUAUUUUGCUUGCAUGUUAAUUGGGCCUCUAAUUGUUCUCUCUGUGCUGCUGUGUCUGCCUUUUGAAUUCUGCAGAGCACUGCCUGCCAAUGCCUUCCCUCUGUAAGCUCUUCUUUCAGCAGAAGAUGGAAAGGGAUGAAGAGCUCCAUACAUCCAGCAGGGCUGUGCUGGGUUCCAGCAGCUGGCUGCUCCUCAGGCAGGUUUCAAGUCCAUCCUUGAGCGUCCUCCUGUCAGGUGCUUGGAAAUCUCAUUCUCUGUCACCUGCCACCGUGUUUGUGUAGAAGAAGAAAAGAAUCAGACACUUUGGUGUGGCACAAGGGUUUCCCAUCCAUCUUCAGCUAUAUGGUGAAGCAGCAUAAAGCUGGGCAGCAGCUCAGCCUGCUCCUAAUUAAGAUUAAAAGUGGAAGCGGUCCAUUAUGGAGAAAGCAACUCCUAAUGAAAAUUUAGGAGUUUGGAUUCGAAGGCAGAGGAGCAUUUUGAGUAAAGAAGUGGAAGUGCAGUGUGCCCCCAGUGACGCAUCCCUUUUCCAUGUGAUGUCUGUGACUCAUUGGAAACGAGACCCAGUGCGACAGGACUGCCUGUCACUGCACGGCCUGCAGUCUGGGAUGGCAGCUUUGUGUGUUCUUCGGCUCUGGUUAUCCAGAGAUUCUCACAGCAAACUCAAGGUGUUGAUUUUGGGCUUGGUGGGAAGCAGAGCAGCAGACUUAGCAAAAGGUCAUGUGAUUCAUCUCACAGAAAAAAUCAAACCGCAUAUGGAGUUUCAGAGCUGAAAGGAGAAGGUGGGCAGUACUGGCCCAGCUCUCCGUGGCAGCUGUGUGCCCUGGCUCCCCAUGAAUGCUGGCUGGAUGUGCCCUGUGCUCAAUGGCACGGCUUUCAGCUGUGCUGCCUUUGACAUCCAGUCCAGCACCGAUCCAUCUGUCAGAUUGAGUAUUGCCCAUUGUACAAAGCUUCGUGUGGCUGGAGAGGGGGGAAGCAGUGGGAGGUGGUGUCCAAAUGGUGCUGUCUGGCAGUGCUCCUCUCCUGCUGACACUGGGAUGGGAGGACAUGAUGGCCAUGGGAAACCAGAGGGCUGUGAGUGAUGGCUUCUGCAAAAGUGCCUCGGAUGGUGGGGAUUAUCUUGGCAGACAAAAGGAAAUCUGGUUACAGUGUGAUCCAGGGAGAUGAGAGGAAGAAAGGGAUCUGUGUGCUUAGAUCGGGCACUUGGACUUCUCAGAGAAACAGGAAAGACUGAUUGAUUGGGGUUUUCUGCUGUGAUACGUGCUAUGUCAUCAACUGCGUUUGUCUUUCAUGGCUAUUGAAAUUUGCAGUAAGAAAAUGUUGUACACCAGUCCUAUGCUCUCCAAAAUCAGACGUGGCUCCUUCAGUGUGUCCCAUGCUGUUGCCUGCCUUGCAGGGACCGUUCCCUGGUGUCGUG